rnacentral:lncRNA from 1 species
AUGAGGAUUUUAAUUGCGUUGUUAAAAUCUUCUUUUCCCCUACUUGUCUCCAGCCAAGGUGCUGGGAAAGACACCCGGACACUUCAUGAAAAAGUCAAGGGAAUAACCUCAGAAAUAAUACUGCCUGGAGAUGCUGAACCAGAACUCAACCCCUUUUUGCUCUGGAUCAUCUUUGUCAUCAUCACCCCCACAAAAACUGCGAAGGAAGAAGGCACUCGAAGCUGAACACAAACUGCUAGAUUCAGAGGACACUGCCCCAGCUGUGAGUUAAUGACCACUAAGGAUUACAGGCUAUAUGAACAGGAACAGCUUCUUUCCUUUUUUCCCUGCUGGCAUGUGAGCUGUAAAAGGGACUAACAAGGAGAGGGAGAGAGAAGCUUAAGAGCUAAACAGCAGGUUAAGGAUCCAGUGUUGUUACUGCUGGGGUGCAGGUUUGAUCUUCCACAUCCAUUGGGCAUGGCCAAAAAAAAAAAAAAAAAAAAAUAGGAAGGGGCAGGUAGCUUCUCCCCUGCCAUCCUCAUCAUCACCACCAACAACCCUCAAGCCUUGUCCUGAGUGGGGUAGGAAGAAGGAAGGAAAUAAGCAGGACACCCCACAGAGCUCCUGAGGGGAAGAGAGUUCGUAUGCUCUGCCCCAACUGGAGUUUCCUAGGCAGCCCCGUGAGACACCUCUGCCUGGAGAGGGGCCAGUGGGGAGAAGACGUGGCACGGUAAGAUAGGAGAGCCCGGAGCCCACUUCCAGGCUCCCUAGAGUCAAGCCUUGUAAUGGUCACAUGUGGUCUGGAGGCCUUAACUGGAACCUGAGCCAACUUGCCAGCCCCAAGAGGACAUUUGGAUAAAGAGAAGAGGAGCAUGUGGGCUGGGUGUGGACCCCCUGCCAGGGGCGAGGGGCCAGGGGCUGCUUCUCAGAAGCCGCAGAAAUGAGAGGAAGCAGUAGGAGGUCCUUUGUGCUUCCUGAAAAGGCCGGCCUCUAGCAGAAUCUCUACCAGGGGCCAGGCCAGAGGCGAGGCCAGCAUCAGCAGCAGCAGAGAAGUAAACUCCGAUGUGCCAGGAAGCACAUGCCUUCCCUCUCCCAGAAAACAGCCAGCCGUGAAAACGGACUUCCCCACCACUGAGAGCUACCAAGGAAAUCAGGAUGCCAAAGGCAAGAAAAUUAUACUCAGUUAUAAAAUGCAUUCCAUGGGAGUUCUCCUUGUGGCUCAGUGGUACUGAACCUGACCAGGAUCCAUGCGGACUCGGGUUGGAUCCCUGGCCUCGCUCAGUGAGUUAGGGAUCCGGCGUUGCAGUGAGCUGUGAUAUAGGUCACAGAUGCUGCUCGAAUCCCAUGUGACUGUGGCUGUGGCUGUGGCUGCGGCUGGAGGUUGCAGCUCUGAUUCAACCCCUAGCCUGGGAAUUUCCAAAUGCUGUGGGUGUGGCCCUAAAAAAGACAAUAAAUAAAUUAAUUAAAUGCA